CUUAUCAUCAUUUUUCUUUUAUAGCUGCAAGUGAAAUUGCUUCAAAGCCACUCCUGCUAGUCCGAGAACAAGUGACAAAUCUAUGCAUCAAUGCACUAUUUUCAUAUCGUAAAUUUUGUGCCACUGUCUCAUCAUCUGGGCAACUUAUUCUUCCAGAGGCACUAAAGCUUCUACCCCUGUACACACUUGCAUUAAGUAAGAGUGUUGGGUUGCGAAAUGAGGGGAAAAUUGAUGAACGAUCAUUCUGGAUAAAUUAUGUAUCCUCUCUCUCUGCUCCAUUGGCAAUACCGCUUGUGUACCCCAGGAUGGUGGCAAUCCAUGAUCUUGACUCUAAGGAAGAUUAUGAAUCUGUU